rfam:Flavobacterium succinicans strain DD5b FLB_contig000035, whole genome shotgun sequence.
UUCUACCUUCGCAUGAGGGAUGGGAGCGGCAUCCUCUUGGGGCGGGGUUCGCCCCAAGAGAUAUAGCGUACAGCCCGGGCCCGC